ensembl:lncRNA
CAGUGUGAAGUGUGCAAUUUUCUUAGUGCUGGGUUUGCAUCUGACUAAAGUAGGGAAAAUGUACAAAAUAAUUGUAAACUGGGAGAAGGUCGUGGCGGUAAGGAGGGGAAAAGGUAAUUUUUACUCACUUUAUCCACAAGAAAUACUCUCCAUUUACUCACUUAGCACCGUUUGACCUUAUAAGUGCCUCGUAAAACAAAUCCAUAAAGAGACAAAAAUUGCUCGCAUGAAAUUAAAUUACUUAUCAUUAGUAGCCACUGAUUCUUCCAGAUUAGGACUAAACUGUGAUUUCUUACCUCAAAACUGCUUUUCAUCUCCAGACAUCAAAGUCUGCAGUACUUUUGAAUAAGUGCUGGUGGGGCUUUUGAAAAGGGGAGGCAGACACGGCACAGGAAAGAGGAGCUGCUCGUUUCUCUCAGGGUUAUCUUCUAAGAUACACAGAGAGCCACCACUUGAACUCAUCUGACUCGACUCCAGCCCUGCACUUCAUUCCUUCCACUGUUUUCCCCCUUUCCAAAUAAAGGGGAGACUGGGAAGAGGAAAAAUUAAUAAUUAUUAAUUAUUUCCUACUCACUCCCCUUCUUUUUCCUCAUGUCUCCCUCCCUCCCUCCCCACUUUUAUGGGGCAAACCCCCCAAUAUGUUGGGUGACUCUGGCUGCUCAAUUUGCUCCUUUUCUCAUUUUUUUUUCAGUUUUCACCUGAAAACCCAGCACUCUUUGCCAUCUGAGAAGUCCCAGAAAUUUUCUAGACAAAACUGUUGGUCUGAGAUUUCACAGUUAACUUUGGAAGGCCUGAAGUGUAUAAGCUUCUCAGCUCGCAGAAAUCUGACUCCACUAUUUGUAAUACCAAAUUUUUUGAAGUUUCUCAGCCUUGAGAAUUAACUUGUCAACUGUGAAGAAGCUUCAAAUUUGUCUAUAAAUCAUUUUGCUGCAGGCUAAAAUUUGACAGGCUGUAGGUAAACACUUUUUCUCUGGUAAAAAAAAAAAAUAAGACCAAUACAUUACUAUUAUUUUUUCCCCUUUAGAAUAGAGCCUCUGAUGUCUCCAGUUUAUGACUACAGCCAAUUUUCUCCAAAUUACAGUGUGCUGUGUUCUUACAUUGCCAAGGUAAGUGAUCACCACGAGGCUGAGAACUGCAGGCAGACCUGUGGUGGCACCAUCUGAAAUUCAGCAAGGGAAUUAUUUCCAACCCAGAUUUCUGCUUGUGCUGAGCUGUGUCUCCUUCUCACCUGGGCAUUUCAGGAUUGUGAGCAGAUCCUGAGCCCCUCCCCACACGGGUGAGCUCUGUCCCUGCUGGACCCACCCUGACAAUUCCAGGCUGGAUUUCGAGGACGCCUCGCUGUGCCAGCGCUGCUGAUUUGCUGUUGAGGCUGGAAAUUUUUGACAAGUGACUCAUCCCUGUUCCAGCAACGUGUCCCAUUUGAUCCUGCACUCCUAGAGGGUUUUUAACAAGCAAUUAGGAGGUGGAUGUGAAAAUAAUUUGUACGUUUGUCUGUUUGUUGUUUGUCUCCAGCUCUUCUGUAAUCAGUUCCCUCCCUCCCUUCUGCUGGAGCAGUGGGGCUGGGACACCUCUGGGCUGGAGCUGGGCAUCUCGGAGCUGGGAUCUCUGUUCUGGUGUACAAAAUGUGCCCUGGGAAGAUGGGAGAGGGUUUGCUCUGAGCUGUCGUGCGGCUACUUGUCCUCUCCCCCAACGAGGAGGCUUCUCCAGCAGCAGCAAUUACAGCAUGGCUGCAAACAGGCUGGAAAGAGACAUGAUGUAAAAAUUCAAUUACUUCAAGCAUUUCUGGCCUAACACUUGGCUUUAUAUAAACUCAGAGACAAUCCUAUAAGGCACUCAGGGCAGAUUAUAGGUUUGGGCAAAGCUAGAAAAUUGCUGCCAUUAUAUUGUUAUUAUUAACACCUUGUAAUUAGCCCUAAGGAAUCCUGAAGUUCUCUCUCCUGAUUUGCCUUUAAUGAAGGAAAAUUGCUACCUUUGCAAGUUGGAUGGCGCCCGCUCUGAUUAGCCUUAAGUAUAUAGGACUAUUAUUUUGAAAAUGUUUGUUGUCAUGUGAAUAUUAGUGUUGCAUGGAAAGGGGGGAGGAGAGGGGAGACCUUUUGUUUUUUGGCUCUGGGGAGUCCCAUGGUCACUUUAGGGAUGGUUGUGCCCUCCAAAAUGAAUGCUGGAAGCCUUGUCAGGGCAUCAGGAGCACAGGGAAUGAAUUCAGGAGGCUCCUGUGGCAAGGGCUGCCAGCUGCCCUACCUGCUGAUUGCAUGGGCUGAUGGAGUAAUUGUUGCAUGGAGAUAGUUUUAUGAUUGCUUUGAGAGGCUGAAUGAGAUCAUGCAUGAGUUAGCACACUAAGUGCAAUAAAAAUGAUUUUAUUUGCA